UUUCCUUUACUUCUUCUUCUUCUUUGGUGAAGUUCGGCUCGUGCACGAGGAAAAUCCAGUUCCUCGCCGUGUGGGAAAAACCCCUCAAAGAUGUCAAACUCAAAGACGGACCUGGACUUUGCAGACCAGCCGGAGAGAGUGUUCGUGGAUUUAGGGAAGUUGUGUAAAUCUUUUCAAAGAUCAAAUCUCGGUGCGGACGUCGUCUCCUCCACCUUUCAACCGGUGAUCAAAAUGGAGGCCAGGUGACUGCCCGGCUCCCGGAGAGAGGCGCGGUGGGGAGGCGGAGGACGAGGGGAGAAAACUUCCGCUCAACUUACUUUUAAUGAUAUUUUACAAAUAAGAUGAGUACACGUACCUUGUUUUUCACCUCCGCGGACAACCCGUAGGCAGGACCUUUGUUGAAAGACAUUGUCGACAAGUUGUUUCCUGCUGCUUGUGGCGACGAGACACUAACCCGAGAAUCAAAACUGCCCCAAGUUAUCAUCGACUUUCUCUUCCAAUGAAACGUCGCCGAGAGCUAAAUACUUCCUUUCUCUUUUACGGCCACCAAUUAGAGCGCUCCCACGGUUCCCGUCAAAGACGAGGCACCGAAGAGUCAAGAUGGUUCACUGCCGAGAGUUCGCCCGAGCGACACGGGGGGCGUGGAAGCGCGGGUUCUCAUAUAGAACUGGUGGGGGGAAAAAUCCCUAUCCUUCGUUAAUAUUCAACAUAAUACGUAAACAAGAGGUACUGUUGGGAUACUACAGAAGAAACCCACACAAGUUAAUGCCCUCUGUUUGUUUCUAUGUAUUUUGCUUUGUUUUGAGAGAGGGGUUUAUGGAGGGUCAACAUUCAUUUUUUUUUUUUCAAAGUGUCAGCUUUUAUAAGCUGAUCCAUUCACUUGUCAUCAUUUCCCCUUCACUAAGCAUCACUUAUUUAUUUAUUUAUUUAUUAUUAUUGCUAUACAUUUAUUUGUUUGAUGGAGUGUAUCGUGGAUCAAUAGGUGUGGCAACAAUGUCGGAUCAGGACACUAAAGUUGUGCUCAGGUUUGAGUGCAGACCAAGGAGGGAUGCAGAGUCCAGGUCUAGAGUUUAGACUGUUUAUCUACAUGCAGUUCAGCAUGUCAAAUGCAAAGUCCAUCACAGUUUCUGUAUACGCCUCUAUUGUAAAUCAAAGAUGGGAUUCUGAGACUAUUCGCUGCCGGUUGUAUGCGAUGACGUCACAGAUCAACGGAGUGUGUGUGUGCCUUCGAUCAUUGCAUUAACUGGGAUUGUGUGAUAGGUUUUCAAUUAAUGAUUAUCAAGUGUUGGAAUGAUACAAAGUGUGCACAAAAUGUGACAGUUACAUACUAAUAAACAAGCACUUGCUUUACAAGAAGGGCAUCAACAACACAAAUCUAGCAAGUCAAAUGCAGACAACUGUAGCUCACAGAAUAAUGUGACACGACUCAGGAUUACAAUCACAGGCCAGCGAUCAGCCGUGAAUCACAUCGUUUAAAUAGACAGAGAACAACUCUCCAAAUACACUUACCGCUAAAUAAACACUAACACCGUGUUCAUAGAGGCUUGGCCUUUUUAGAUUUGACUGUGUUUGUUUGAUUAAACCUGUUCCGUCUGGCUCUUUGUCUUGCCCCGGCAAGAGAGAUUACCAAAACAACUUUGACUAAAAACCUGCAUUAUCACAUGAUCUCAAAUAGUUGGUAAGCAACACACUAUAAACAGAUCUGAAGGUCACAGAGGCCUGUGCAGCAAAAAGAGAUGCCAGCAUAACUCUACAUCACAGACUCUGUGUUUUAACUUCAUCUAACUGUGCAAUACUCAGUUUCUAUUUGUGCAAUAUAAUUUUCUAUUUUGUUGCGUUACGUCGUACUGCAAGCUUACUUAUCCGUUACCUUUUUUUCUGAUGUUUCUUCUAUUUAUAAUUUCAACUUCGCGGCCAUGAGGAUUACCGUAUCUUAUUUUAUAAGCCAAAAACUAGGAAAACUAUGCUAGUGUCAUCUACUGUAGCUGCUGAAUUUGCUGUAAAUAUCAUACACAUGUAUUAAUCUCCCUCUAUAAGAGUAGUCUGCUGUUAUACAUGUUGAUACAUAUUAUAUUUAUGUGUAUUACCUUGCAUUUAACUAAAUUUGUUUUGCCCUUCUAGCUAGUACACUGCACUGACAAAGCCGUCAUCUAAGAUUCAUAUAGAAUUUGAUGAGUCAUAACAUAACAUAACAUAAGAUAAUAUAAUGAAAUGUUUGGGUUCAAGCGAAGCCGGAAGUAAGUCGGCCUCAACCAUCUUGCAUCGUUAAUCGAUCCUAGGCUCCACCUUUCCCCUGCUCUUCCUUAGGUCGCGAUUGAUAUCAAAAACUCCUUAUAUGGAAGGAAACUUCCCAAAUUCCUGAAUGGUGGGAGUGAUCCACGGGUCCCACCCUGCAUACCAGACGUGCAGUGGACGAGACGAGCUGUCGCACUUCUUUGAGUCACAGUCGGGCUGAGAGGGGGAAAAGAGAAGUUCGGAGCAAAGUAAACGAAGCACAAUGAGCUACUGCGGUGACGUAAUGUCGCUGCUGUGCAGCUCUUAGCCAAGUCGUCGAGAAACCGCAGGACCGGUCCACACCAUGCUGCUGCUGCUUCUGUUCGUACUGGACACACAUGACUCAUGUGCACCCCCACAUGGACGAACUGAGCAAGUGCAACGAAUUAGAGCAACUUCUACAGUGGAGCUCAAA